ACGAGUUUGAUCCUGGCUCAGGAUGAACGCUAGCGGGAGGCCUAAUACAUGCAAGUCGAACGGUAAGGUCCUUCGGGAUACACGAGUGGCAAACGGGUGCGUAACGCGUACGGAACAUGCCUCUAUCAGAGAGAUAGCCCUGGGAAACUGGGUAUAAUACCUCAUAGUAUUGUAUUGCCGCAUGGUAUUUACAAUUAAAGCUCCGGCGGAUAGAGAUUGUCGUGCGUCCCAUUAGCUAGUUGGUAAGGUAACGGCUUACCAAGGCGACGAUGGGUAACUGGUUUGAGAGGAUGAUCAGUCACACUGGAAUUGAGACACGGUCCAGACUCCUACGGGAGGCAGCAGUAGGGAAUAUUGGACAAUGGACGCAAGUCUGAUCCAGCCAUCCCGCGUGCAGGAUUAAGGCCUCUGGGUUGUAAACUGCUUUUAUUAGAGAAGAAAACCUCAGAUUUAUCUGAACUUGACGGUAUCUAAUGAAUAAGCACCGGCUAACUCCGUG
rnacentral:rRNA from 1 species